AUUGAACGCUGGCGGCAGGCCUAACACAUGCAAGUCGAGCGGGUGAGUUCUUCUGGCUGCGUAAUUCAGCGGACGGCUGGGGAAUGAUUGCGAAUAUUCUGGGUGGUGGGGGACAAUGACGUGCGAGGACCGCCACUAAUACCUCCGACGUCCGGGGGGAGGGGGGGGAUGUUCUGCCCUCUCGCCGUUAGCUGAGGAGAGGUCGGAUGAGCUAGUUGGUGGGGUAAAGGCCUACCAAGGCGACGAUCUGUAACUGGUCUGAGAGGAUGAUCAGUCACACUGGAACUGAGACACGGUCCAGACUCCUACGGGAGGCAGCAGUGGGGAAUAUUGGACAAUGGGCGAAAGCCUGAUCCAGCCAUGCCGCGUGUGUGAAGAAGGUCUUAGGAUUGUAAAGCACUUUCAGUUGGGAGGAAGGGUAGUAAGUUAAUACGUUGCUGUUUUGAUGUUACCAACAGAAUAAGCACCGGCUAACUCCGUG
rnacentral:rRNA from 1 species